rnacentral:ncRNA from 1 species
AUCGUUCAUCUUUUGCACUAACUUAAUGCAAAAGACGGAAGUAGGAAGAUAGGAAAACCUCUUUCUUCCCAAGGGAGGAAAGGUUAGCAAGUACCCAUUGUGGGAACGAGACCGAAUAUCUAACGAAGGAACGCGU